rnacentral:lncRNA from 1 species
GGCAGUUGGAGGGGGACUUUGCCCCACAUGGAAUGUUUAGCAAAAUCUGGAAACAUUAGUUUCCUUGAGUUUGAGGAAGUUGGUAUUACUUAUUUGCUGGAGAUCCUACCAAUGCACCAGGCAACUUCCUCCUGACCUCAACAAAGAAUCAUCUGAUCCAAAAUGAUGGUAGUGUCCCUGUUGAGAUGUUUUCCUGUGAAAAAUGGAAAGCCAGAUUGUAUUUUUAGUGAACUCUUAAUGGGAGGGGAGCUUGUUUGAUAAGGGUACUAAUGAAUAUGAAUCUAUGCUACCUCACAACCUUGUUAUCAGUGCUUAUAACGGGCAGCAAAAAGUUUCAAAAUACAUUGUGCAGAACUAAGAAAUGUAAAUAGCAUAAUAGGCUGGUUACAAUGUUAUUUUCCUUGUCAAAAAUUUAUAGUGCAACUAAAAAUCUUAUUGCUGUAAAUUUGUUGCAAUGACUUUGGAAAUUAAUAGGCAGUAGCCAUUGUAUUGCAGCUGAAUGUAAUGCCAACCUUAUAAUUCAACAAUUUCACUUGUAAGUAUAUACCCAUUGAAAUGAAUGCUUAUGUCUACUAAAAGUCUUGUAUAAUAAUAUUUAGCAGUUUGAUUCAUUAUAGCCCCAAACUGGAACAAAGCGAAGACUUUGAUAUACACAUAAAAUAUAUAUGGGGAUUAUAUGUAUAUAUAUAUAUAUACAUAUAUAUUAUGUACACACACACACACAUACACACACACACACAGAAUACUACUCACCAAUUAAGAAGAAGCUGCUAUGUGAAUAACAUGGGUGUAUCUCACAGUCAUUGUGUUGAGUGAUAUAGACACAAAAGAAUUCACAUCCCUGGGUUUAAUCCCCAAUACACCACCCCCCAAAAAUGGCAGGUGCACUGGUGCACUCCUGUAAUCCUAGGGACUUGGAAGGAUGAAGCAGAAAAGGAUUGCAAAUUCAAGGCCAGCUGCAGCAAUUUUGUGAGGCCCUCAGCAACUUAGCACGACC